ensembl:lncRNA
CAAUAAACCAUGAGAACGUUUUAAGAAAAGCAUGCGCGUGUCCCCGCCCCCUUAAGCGGAGCCGUUCGGGGUGUUAUGGUGGAAAACACAAAAGCUUCUGGGGUGUUUUUUGAGGCAAGCUUCGCUCACAACAGCCGAGUCGGGAGGCGGGGGGGUUUGGGGGGGCUUCUGAUGAUCAAAGUGUUGGGAAGUCUGUGCUCAGCAGGUAGAGAAUGUGUUCUGGUUGCUUGAAGGAUCCACUUUAUAAACAAACCCUGAAAACGCAGAAUAUCAUGGCGCCAUAUGGACGUCACUGCGAGGGAGAAGACUGCUGAAAGAGGGAAGAAACAAACACGCAGCAGAGCAAACAGCCCACCGGCGUCUUUCUCAACCACAUUGCUUUUGUGGUUUUAUUAAUACGAACAAACGCGGCCCCGUGGUUCUGAAAUGUUGUUUGGGGGAAUCUUCUUCAAAGCCUUUUGGUCCCCGGACACUCGUCCCCUGUGAUGUCGCGUCUUGUCAGAGGACAAGGACAAGCACAAUGGAUGACACAGAGAGGGAACACGUUACCGCCGACAAAGGACGGGAGCCUGACAUGACCGCCGCGUGUCACGCGGACCCGAGAGCUGACACGCACGACUGUGACUGUUUCAUAAUUCAUCAGAUCUCGCCCGAGAAAUGAAACAGAAGCCGCUGUCAGGAGCGUUUAAUCCGGGCCGCAGCCGGAGUGAAGACGUCGACAGUCUGUCCGCUCCGUUUGACGCUGGGCUCGUCGUGGCUUCUGCCAAACACCUCCGCGGUUAAGUGACGGGGAACGAAGGACGCGUGGAGGGAGGCGGGGCCCGCGAGGGCCCGGGAGACAACGCGGCGCCACGGCCCGGCGUGAGCGCGUCACAGAACUCAAAGGCACAACUUCAGAUGGGAUCACGGUCGCGGCUUCGCUUUCACACUAAAGUCCUUUUGGUCUUUUUUACCGACAUGGCGUCACAUGAUCCGCGGCCACUGAAGCUCACGUGGUCGCCGACGACGAGGUUCAAAGUCACCUGCUGCCACCGCGGCUCCGUCGUGUUCUCCACGAGGUGAGAAAAUGUCUGUUUCUGCUUCAUGACUGUAAAACCCUUUCAUGUCGGCUUGACGAAAACCUCAUUCUAGCAAUUAUUUCCCACAUAACCACAUUUUGAAGUGGAGAUGUAAAACGUUAUCAUGAAUCAUCCCGGCUGUUUGCAAUGGAACAAAGCAACAAAUACAAUUAGUGUUGCUUUUUAUAGCAGGAUUUAAUGAUCUGGACUGAAAUGGCAGCCGCCCCGAGCUAACUGGGUGGAUUGAGGGCGAUGCCGCUCGUGUGGCUCUUUUCAUUGCGCGGGGAAAUCGAUCGGGCGUAUAAAUAUAAAAUCUAUAUCCUCACUAUCUGAAUCUAAUAUCAAACCAUCGAAUAUAACUCGUUGCUAUUGUUUACACGUCACUGACGUGGAACAAACAGAUCAAUUACGCAUCAUCGUGGACUCGCUCUCAGGCACGUACCCGUGUCUAUACAUAGCAGAGGGUUUCUGGACAAAUCCCAGGUCAGGAUCCCUGUCGGCUCUGAGAGGGGCGUGUGUGCACUAGUAAAGACAUAACUGCUUUAAGAGCUCGGCAACGGUUAUUUUCAAAGACGAGAUUGAGUGGUAUUACCCUCUAACCCUAACUGUCCAAGCACUGUUUCUAUGCCAACAGCAGAAGAGUCUUUUCAUUCUGACUGGCUACUGUGUGUGUGUGUGUGUGUGUGUGUGUGUGUGUGUGGACGUUCUGCCGAGCUAUUUCCUAUUCACUGCCGUUUUAAAUUGUACACACCACCUGGCCGCACACGUAACCAUCAGCCACAUGCGUCGGUUCAGCAGCAGCAGCCCCUCCAGCCCGAUGCCUUCACACUCCGGACCCUUCCAGCAAGGAUCCAAUCAGCAUGCGUGAUGUCCAGCGCCUCGUAUUCUCACAAGGCCUCAUUUUGCAGGUCGGGGGGGGGGUGCGAUGAGAGCUCAGCGUUAUAAUUCCUCACUGCUUUAUAGCUUUUUCCAACUCAAUGGUCACCGAGAACAAGUGUGUCACUUAACAAAUGGGCUGCUUUGCUCAAUAUGCAAUUAACCUAUAUCGCUGGAUGGAAGUUUUCAGUCCACCGAGGAGAGUUUUCAUAGAGUGAAUAUCUAAAAAUGGCUGCGUACGGUGCAGAGAUCAAUCCCCUUUCUCUCCAUUGAUUCCAUUAAAAGCCUUUUUGGAGAUUGAUUACACUGAAAGCUUCCCUCCGCUUUAGAUUACAGUUGCACAAUUCCAAUCUCAUUUUUUACAGCCCAUAGAUAUGGGCAUUUAUUCUAUUACGGUGGAAGGUGCAAAGCCUGGAGCCUGAACAUCAGAGACCACCCUUUUCUACCAAUAAUGCUUUAGAUAGUAGAACAUCCGUUUGACUAUUGGUACGGCCCUGCGUUCUCCGAUAAGCGUUAUCACACCUGUCAUUCCUUUUGCCGGAUCAGUUUUCCGCCAUCAAGAUCAAAAUGCGUGUUUCAUGAAAAUCCGACAACAGCCCUGCGAAGAAAGACGAUUCAACCUGUUUUCAGCUCACGGACACUAUUUCGGUGCAGCGGGCGCCGCGUACACCUGCAUUCUUAUUCCGGUAGUCUACCAGCAACAGCAAGUCGAAAAAGCCAAUGAAAACAGAAUGCAUUGCACAUAUAGAUGUAUAUGUAUAUAUACAGAUAUGUAUAUUUCUUUGUGUGCCGUAGCUCUCAUUUCUGAGGCCUUAUCUCUGUAAUGGAAUAUUUAUCAGUAAAGAAUACAGCAAAAAGAAUGCCGCCCCUGGCAACUGAAUGCAUAAAACAUUUAGUUAUUUCCUUGUGUUUGUAUAUCAACCGGAGAAGUGAUGAAGAAUAUUAAGGGCUGUAUAGUGGGGGGUGGGGGGUCCUUACUCAGCACCUUGUGGCCGUUGCCAUCUCCAGGGUUAAAUCUGGGGCAGUGUCCUCGCCGGCCCGCUGAGGGAUUCAUUUAUUCACCGCCCGUUUCUGCUGAGCGUUCCACUCUCUGCAGGUGGGAUGUUUAUGGAUACGUCCUGAAAGUAAUAUGAAAGCAAUAACACCGCACAACAUCUCGGUUAUUUCACUGAAGAAUUGAUCAGAUGUGUCACUUGAAAUUGCAUUUUUUUUGUUGUUGUUUAAUACAGUGUGCGUUCCUCACUGCGGUGCAGCCGUGUGACAGACAGCCGGCUUUUUGCAUGUGGCUGCGCGUGACCUUUCCCUGCUGCGCUGCUUAGUGCAGUCCGCUGGCAGACUUGGGUGUUGUUGCCGAAUGGAUAAGCGCUCAUCCUGAAACCCGUCCCCCGUCCCCUCCAUCCUCCACAUCGCCCGAAGGCUGCUUCCCCCGCUUGGCCAGCCGCUCCUUCCGUCGGGGGGGUUUGGCGGCGCAGGAUGCGUCCUCGCGCCCGAAUGCCGGAUGAUGGAGAACUAAAAGAAACGGGGAAUAAAGUCUACGACUAGUGUGGCCUUAAAGCAUCUUCUUCAUUCAUUGUAGGUGUCAAAACAGUGUCACAUGAUAAUUACAUGUGAGGUUGAACCCCAAAAUGUCUGUAUUUUUAGGCAUUGACAAACCAACUAAAUGAAAUGUGAGUGACAAAGAGGUGCUGUAUAUAAACAACAAUACGCUGUAUGUGCUAACAGACACAUUUUUAAAUCCUCUGGCGGCGUGUUUAAGGCUUAGAAACACCACUUACAGGAGCCCCGCGUUGCUGCGGCUGCACGCGGAGCCUUUGUUGAGUACGAGGGGAGGCGCUCUUCCCUUGCAGUGCUGUUGUUGUCGCUUGUUUCGUUCAGCUUCACUUCCUUAAUUGGAACUCCUGUCACACGGCGGACUGCAAACUUUAGUUUUGCCCGAGUCCACCUUGUAGCUAACUACAUGUAGGCAGCGGAUGGGUUUAGCUGGGCUAAAGGUGUCGAUGCUCUCCAGUGCUUGAAUUAGAAUUUCAUUGAUAGCGUCUAAACGUUUCCAGGCACUGAGUACCGCUGAUUGUUUUGUGAAACCGCAGCAGGACGAGUGGAUGCAGCUGUACGUGAGGAUGUGUGCAGCGCGUUCACCGGCAGCAGCGUGCAAGGUCUCAAACCACGAAUGAAUUCGCUCGUUUCUCCUCCAAACGUUCUUUCGUUCGUCGUUCACGUGCAUGAUGCGUGACCUCUGCCUUUAACCCUCCCCGAGCAUCCGUAGGAGCACCGGGCCGCUGCGAAGCACCCGGGGAGCCGCUUCGGGGGGAUCCGUGUCCUGGUCAAGGACGCUUCCACGCGUGACAGUUUAACCACGAGGUUAAAGGACGAGCCGCUCUCCCCACCGAGCCACAUCUGCCCCAGUUUUUUUUCAGCUCGUGACCUCGACCUUUCCUCAAGCUGCAAGGACACCAACACAUUUUUUGAAGUUGGUUAAUAUAAGAAGUCGUUGGCCUAUUUGUAUUAUGCUUCCACACACCAGGUAGAAAUGGUGGUAAUCUAAUUUUGAGGGGGGUGUUUUUUUCGUGAACUUUUACUGGAGUUUGUUGCAUAAACACGACCCACAAGCAGCUUUGUACCUUUUUAGAAAGAGCGUUUCCCGUCAACGUGAAUAACUAAACAGUUUAGUUGAAUAGAAACGUAAAUUUGUUGCAGAUAUUAUCGCGGCUCGCCAAGCGUUGAAAGAAAGAUAAAUCUUGAAUUGAACUUUUUUUUACAAGGACCAAGGAUUGUGGAGGUUGUCCCCUAAAUGACUUACUGUGAAAUUGGGUUAUGUCUUUGCAGCCAAUAGACAAGAGGAGCAAUUCCAGGAGCAGUAACCCUUUUAGUGUUCAGUCGUGACUGAAGACUCUUUCCCGCAACCUUUCCAUGUUCUGGUCCAAGUAGUCACCUAACCUCGUAGUCUAAUUCCCGUGCACGGAUUUGUACGAAUAAUUGAUGUAAGAACGAAAACGUUAUCAUUUGUCAUUCAAAAUGUCGCUGAUCGGAAUGCCACGAGGGACGUUUUCACACAAAAGGUCAUUUGACUCGUCACCGGGAGAACGACUCAACCCACGAACGCAGCCGCUCAAUGUCUGAACCAAAGAAUAUAAGCAGUCAAACAAAACAUCUCAUUAUCAGGGGUUAUUUUCUUGAGAGCCUCCUCUACAAAUUGGGGACAUGAAACGUCUCGGGGUUCCGGCAGAGAAAGUUCUGUUUAUUAGGGAACACGGACGAGCCGGCGUUGCAUUUUUCACCAGCGAAUCCAUGAAAAAUAAUACAACUGACAAUCUACCGCAUCCAAAACAAAUUAAAUCCCUGCAUGAUGUAUUCAACUGCUGCACCAAUCGAAAGGAGUCUCCCGGAGGCACCGUCCAUCUGCCACGCGGCGGAAGUCAGCGGCGGAGACGACGUUCCUGUCCUCCCUUAAAACAAGCCGUCAAAGCGACGCGGACGCCGCUCCUCAAGCCCUCGAGAAGAGUCCACGUGCUCCCGCGCGUCGCAUCGAGGGCCGACUGGGAGCCACGGAGACCAACCGGUGACGUAGGGGCAGUUCUUUGCAUCAGUGACAGAUCCCUUUCAUAUUGUACCUCCCCCCUCAGAAUGCUGAAUGCUGAAUUUCCCCUUUUAUGAUAUAAAAAUGUUCAGGAUUCAAGUGGUUUCUCCUCUCGCACACCGGCCCCACAGAGCCUCCCUGUGCCGUGUGCUCGGCUGGCCAGUGUGCCGAGUGUCUCGGGGGCUCAGCUCAGGCUUCAGCCGGCCACGGCCACCUGAACUGCUUUCUCCAUUGUGACCCCAGGCGGCACGCGGGCUGCUGCUUCAUUAGGUCGCUGCACCACCUCUAGCCAGGAGGGGAUUUGAAGGCAGGUCCAGUCUGGAUUACCAUAUGGCUCCUCUUGGUCCACGCUGUCAUGAAAUAUGAAUCCAACGCCAAGACUACUGCUCCUAACGCGCUCAGGAGUGUCACACAUAUACGGCCCGACACAGUGGGAGCUCCGGGCGCAUGGAUGUUGCAAAGAUUUCAUCACGCUUGGAAGGCAGGAGUUUUCAUAUUGUGAGUUGCUGGGUCCACGGCGGCGUCCUCUUUGUUUACCUUGGCUCGGUCCGCAUUGUCCUCAUCUCGUCCAGCGCGCAAAACAGACGGGAAAAGGUGUUGGAAAAAUUGCCUUUUGGGGAAAGCUCGUGAAAAUAUUCUCGUUCUCCAUUCACACCCCCUAAAUUAAUGCAGAUUAAUUCAAAUCAAAGGCCUUUGUGGAAACUGCACCUGCAAACAUUUGACUUUUUCACUGCAGAGACACAAUCUGUGUGUCAGGUAAGGAAGUGGUUUAAUCUCUUCAGGCCCAGAGGUGGCUUAAGUGGCAGAGACCAGAUGGUGGAAUCAACAUGCCCGGGAGGCAAACACCGACUGACAAGACAGCCGAGAGUCUUCCAUGAUGAAGUGUGUGCAUUUGAUUUCCCCACUCAUCCCUCUCUCAAACCGGGUUGUUCAAUAUUUUCCAUGAGCAACGAGUCAAAUGAAUGAAAAUGUGCACCGAAAAUAAAUUCACCAUUAAGCGGUCGCGUCGCUCGAUUCCGUCUGUCUGCGUGAUGGACGAGUGCAACAGCUUUCGGAUUCAACUUGACGAACCUCUUCAGUGACAUUUCUGAAAAACAAUAUCCUGAACUGCCGGCCGAAGCGGUGGGACAACCUUCGGGGUGUUGAAUGUCACCAUCUGUCGAGGACCUGCUUAGUCAAAGUCAUUACGGCACGUGGAGUGGAGCUCCUGCUCAUGAGGGCCGCGCUUUAUUGCACAGAAGCUCAGGUGGACCCUGAUCGGAUUUCAGAGGCUCAGUGGGCCGUCGGUGGGAGCGCGUGGUUUCACAUUAUCCACUUCUAAUUGUUGGGCGCACCCAACAAUCCGCUCUGUAAAACACUUGAUUUUUAUUGAUUUAUUUGGCCAAUUAGAUAUCACAUAGUAAAACUACUGUGUUUGUCCGUAAAACAACUUACUGCAAAACAAACGCUAAAGAUGUCUUCUAUUCCUAAUGCUACGGCAGUUGGAUCAAACUCCGCCGUACCUGCGUAGAUUUGACCUUUUCUCAGGAAUUUACAGUCUGCUUAUUAAUCACGAAGCCGCAGCAGCAGAUUUUUUUUUUUUUAUGGCUACUCUGAUAAACUCAACACGCUAACGCACGUUUCUGCAAACAUCUGUCUGCUAUCCAGCUGACGCGACAACUUUCACAUGCACUUUAGUUGUGGAGCUCUUCUCGGUCACCUUGACCAGCUACAAUUUAUUUAUUUCACACUCAAUCCGCUUCGGUUCAGUCAGCUAAAACAGCCCUAAGGUGUACAUUACACGUGGUCUUUUAAUCCCUUUGUAAUAAAAGUAUGUGCGUCCACGGACCACAGCAGUCCAGCGCUUUGAGAUGCUGCGAUUGGUUCCGUCAGACUCGACGUGGUGAGCAGAGUUUGAUUAAGUUUCCUGGUGUCGGCGUUCGCUCUGCGGGGCGCUGCGUCGUUCAUCCCCGCCUCAGGUGUCUGUCACACACCAGCAGGAUGCGUCGAUUCGCCGUAGCCAAACAUAUCUCCGAGCAGAUAGUUCCACCGGGGGGGGGGUUAUUGUGUUCCUCAAAACCAACUCUCAGCCAUGGCAUCCCGCUUGAUGUGCCUCUCAGGUGGCCUUCAUAUUGCCUGAAUGGAUUUUGAGCGGUGAUGUGGAACGAUUCCUUUGAGAAUGACGCCCUUUCAAAUGAAGAUAAAGUCAUUAGACAGCAGCAGCUGUCCUUGGAUCUUUGCUUUUUCCUCAACUGCGCUGGAUGAAAACGGUGUGCCGCGUGUGUUUCAAGAUGCUCUUAGGAGUGAUGCUCAUUCUCAGCGUGUUCGCAUUAAGAGCUGUUUUUCUCCAUUACUGCUUAAGGACAGUUGUCAGUUUGCCACUUGUCAAAUUUAGUUGGAUCUUUUCAGAUGAACCUUCAUCAACUUUGAAUAUUGACAUUUUAAAAGGCCCCUCGCCAACAUUCGUCCUCAUGCACACACGGGCACCGAUUGCACGGCUCAUUUCUCGAAUGACUGCGGAACGUAUGCAGCCUCCCACCGAGUGGAUGUAUUUACACGCACCUCGUCUCGUCUCGGGGAUUCCUGCCUGGCGCUCUGGCAUUCUGGCGAUUUGUUACAACCUGGCACAGAGUCUACGUCGUACCUGGAUGUGUCUGCUGUAUCUCCUCAUGCAGAAUGGCUUCUGCUGUCCCACAGGUCUGCAACAUGCUCGUCUCUACAGGUGCAGCCGGCGCCGUUGGCUUGGAGGAGGAGGAGGAGGAGGAGGAGUGGAACAAAUGUGGUUCUGUUUUUUUGGUUAACCUUUUGAUUUAACAAAAGCACGUCAAUACCCUUCUAACUGUUUGUUUGGUUUGGAAUCACACGUUUGGACACGUCACAGAAAAUAUUGUGAUUGAGAAAUUCUUCAGGUUUUAAAUGUAACGGUGUAAACGUCUCUUGUAUUUUUGUUGUUUUGUGAAAGGGGCCAAAUGAUUUGGACAACAUGGAAGUCGAAUUAAGCUAUUAUUGUUUUCCGGUACUGAAUUUGGAUCUUGGCGAGCACAGAUUGUUCCCUUUACUCGUUCUCUGAAGUGAAUUCUAUUUGUGUCGUGCGUUUUGAUGACCCAAUGUCCUUUUUAUCUUACUACUCAACAUAUUUAAGCAACACUAUAAAAUGCACCACAACAAUCUGUCCACUGACUUUGAGAUUCAAAGGAAACCCUUUGAUGCUACAGCAUGAAGUCUGCUUUCAUGAUUAACCAAAGUAAAAUAUCUGACCCGAAACACGUACAGACAUUUUGGUAUUUUGAUUUCUGCGUCCGGGUACGCUAGCGACUCCUGGCACAACCAGAGCAGGUCCAUAAAAGAGAGGACUCCCCAGUUUGGAUGUCGAAGAACUAGUCCACACAGAACCUCGACCCUGUCCAGCCCGUCUGGCGCCGACGGGAAGACCGCCGCCGAUAGACAAAGCGUCAGAGCUGGACCGUUGAAUGCGUUGAAUGGGAGCCAGAAGAGCGCAGGCUGUCACAGCAGAUUAAUACCCAUGAACGUGUGGGUGCCAUGUUCAGGUGUCCACAGAUUUAAACCCAUGAACGUGUGGGUGCCAUGUUCAGGUCUCUACAGAUUAAUACCCAUGAACGUGUGGGUGCCAUGUUCAGGUGUCCACAGAUUAAAACCCAUGAACGUGUGGGUGCCAUGUUCAGGUCUCUACAGAUUAAUACCCAUGAACGUGUGGGUGCCAUGUUCAGGUCUCUACAGAUUAAUACCCAUGAACGUGUGGGUGCCAUGUUCAGGUCUCUACAGAUUAAUACCCAUGAACGUGUGGGUGCCAUGUUC